GACAGAGGGUGCAAACGUUGCUCGGAAUCACUGGGCGUAAAGGGCGCGUAGGCGGCCACCGCAAGUCGACUGUGAAAUCUCCGGGCUUAACCCGGAAAGGUCAGCCGAUACUGCGGGGCUAGAGUGCAGAAGGGGCAACUGGAAUUCUCGGUGUAGCGGUGAAAUGCGUAGAUAUCGAGAGGAACACCUGCGGCGAAGGCGGGUUGCUGGGCUGACACUGACGCUGAUGCGCGAAAGCUAGGGGAGCGAACGGG
rnacentral:rRNA from 1 species